rnacentral:rRNA from 1 species
UACGGAGGGAGCUAGCGUUGUUCGGAAUUACUGGGCGUAAAGCGCACGUAGGCGGCGACUCAAGUCAGAGGUGAAAGCCUGGAGCUCAACUCCAGAACUGCCUUUGAAACUAGGUCGCUAGAAUCUUGGAGAGGCGAGUGGAAUUCCGAGUGUAGAGGUGAAAUUCGUAGAUAUUCGGAAGAACACCAGUGGCGAAGGCGACUCGCUGGACAAGUAUUGACGCUGAGGUGCGAAAGCGUGGGGAGCAAACAGGAUUAGAAACCCGUGUAGU